rnacentral:rRNA from 1 species
UACAGAGGGUGCGAGCGUUAAUCGGAAUUACUGGGCGUAAAGGGCGCGUAGGCGGUUCGUUAAGUCCUGUGUGAAAUCCCCCGGCUCAACUGGGGAGCUGCACAGGAAACUAGCGGGCUUGAGUUCGGGAGAGGGAAGCGGAAUUCCGGGUGUAGCGGUGAAAUGCGUAGAUAUCCGGAGGAACACCGGUGGCGAAGGCGGCUUCCUGGACCGACACUGACGCUGAGGCGCGAAAGCUAGGGGAGCAAACGGG